GCGACUUGCUGUUAAUUCUUCACACUGUGGUUGUGUGUGCUGUCCCAUGUUUACAGAGAGAAUAAACCAGACCAAGUGCUUCAUUCAUCCUGCCUCCUGUCCACUGUAUCACACCAGCAACAGACCAAAAUAGGAUAGGUCACACAUGUCUUCAUGAAAAGAAGAAAAAAGAUCAGCAAGCUGAGAGCCACGGGUGGAGGAGUUGGUGUCCUGGGUGGUGGUGUCCCCCUCCUGGUGUGCUGUUUCCCUGGUUUGGGUCCCUUCCACGUCCGUCCAAUUGAGUAAGAGAAGCCAUACAGCAUGUGGAGAGCAGUCCAAGAGAGAGUCUGGUCUGGACAGUUCAGUGUCCAGAAGAGUGCCGAGCAGACCAGAAAGCGGUCAGGUCUGGCCAGUCCAAGAUGCCCCACUGAGGAGAGUUCUGCUGAGUCUCCUUGGGCCUCUUAGGCCCAUUCUUGAUCCAAGCGUUGUGCCAAGUCUGAUAAACAAUCAGACUUAGAAUUUUCUUAUCCAGUACAAGAUUUUUCCUAACCUUUUUGUCGCUUUGCGCUAACUUUUUGUAACGCAGAGUUUUUGUUUUUCUUUUAUCACCCGAUCGACUUCACUGUGAGCCAGCAGUCACGUAGUCUUGAUGCGUUUGACUUUAUCUAAUUUUUUAAUUGAACAAUCAAGAGCUGUUUUCUUUGGAACGAGAGACAAUCCUUCCCAGAGUCUGUGGAUUAGAGUCUGUACAGCCGUCCCUACAGUCUGAGCGACCCAUCGGCACCGCAGCAGCCCAGCUGAACCCAUCCAGGUCAGACCAGAGUUGGCACGCGGUAGCUUCGGGUGUUCAGAACUUGCCAGGCUCCUUCCACCAGGCCCUUCCGGACAGGCUAUUUUUCUUCCAAAUUCACACUCCAAAUUCUACACCGUCAGUUAAAUUUUUCUGUUAGGAUUAUUAAAAUAAUCCACCCUCACCAACUAAGAUAGCAUCCUUUCUCUUCACCAUAUUUAGUCAUGUCUGUUUAUUCAUUUACAUGAUCUAUUCAUAUAACCUGUG